CCUGUCGCAAUCACAUUAAAUCUGAUAAAAUAGGUAAAAUAAAUAAAUAUAAAGAUAAGGGUGAUACUUACAUCAUCAAAAGAAAUGCUUUUCCCCACCGACAAACCAAACACCUACUGCAAAAGUAAAGCGAUGCUUGUUUAUCUAAAAGCUGGUAUAUAAAUGAUACCAGAGAUUAUUGACGCUAUAAGUUGCAAUACACCCACCAGUUCAACUGUAACCGUAGCUAGUGUAACAACUCAAAAAACAAAAUGUCGAAGUUUGUGCUACUUCUUUGCAUCGCCUUUGUGGCUGUUAGUAUUGUCGUCGCCCAGGAAGAACCCGUAUGUAAACCAGGAGGCCGUAUCUGUUCAUCCAAUACUGAGUGUUGUACGGGACUUAUUUGCAACCCAUGGGCCGGACGAUGCACCAAGCCUAAAACUACCACUCCUAGCCCUGUCACUGAAGCUUCCACUGCUGCCGGUGCUACUGGUGCUACUGGCGCAACCGGCGCGGCCGGCACUACUGGCGCUUCCAAUGAAUAAUAUAUAAGUAGCUGUAUAAAACAAAUAUUGAAUUUGUAAACUUUAUCGAUUCUGAAUCGAUUUAACUAACACUAGCAUUAUAUAAUAAAACUAUUGCUCAUUAAUUUUAUUAGUUCAUUUUUUAUAAAAAACAAACCUAUUUAUAAUUUUACUAUAAUAUUCAAUCGAAUCUCUUGAUAUUUUGAGAAUAGCUUACAAAACUGUAUUUAAAUUCAAACUACAGGUUGUCAUUAUACUAUAUGAGUAACUUUGAUAUUUUCCUAAUUACUAUGCUUAGAAUAAGACGAAUGUGUUUGUAGAAAUAGUUUGCAGAUUAUCUUUUUCGAAUUGCUCAAUAUAUAACAUUUAAUUGUAUAGUAAUUUACAGUCAUUCACAGCCUGAAUAUGUCAGAAAAAAAAUCCAGCUAUUAGUUUUAUGACUCGGUGACCACACUGUACACAUCCUCUUGAAUAAUGAAUCCCCUCUUUUUCUUGCAUGCAUAUCUCAUUUGUAUUUUCUUAAAGCACUGAAAAGUAUAAGUAAGAGGUAGCGUCUAUACCAAAGACACAGUAGUUCUUCUUACUAACAUUUUUAAAAUGUCGAAAGUACUUGUUUUACUCUUUGCAAUAAUAUUGACUUCUACCCUGGCUGUAGCAAGAAAUUCAUGCAGUCCUUGGUUAGGAUAUUGUCAAGUUUAUGAAGACUGUUGUCGAGAUUUAGAAUGCUCUAGUUAUGCUGGUAAAUGUGUGCCAGUCAAUGGGCUUAAGAUUCCUGGAAAAGAUCAGCGACCUACUGGGCCCGGGCCUUUCCCACCUUCAGUCAUGUACCGACCUUUCUAAUCAAAGUUAUCAAACCGGUAUUGUUGAUGCUUAUAAAUUAUCAUAACCAUCUUUGUCAGGUUCAAAUAGAGACAUUCUUUUUAAAAUAUGUGUAUGAUUCAUUAGUGAUUAAAAUUUCUUUUAAAGUUAAUAAACAAAAAUGACCACCAAAAACGUGUUAACUUAUAUCACUUAAUUAGUAUUUUCACUAUUAAGAUAAAGUGUUAAUGAUCAAAUAUUAUAAAUGUCACGUACGCACGUUGGUUUCUUCUGAUCGUAACAUAAAAAAAACUAUUCUCAGUAUUAUUGAUGUCACCGCUUUUUAAUCAUUUACGGAAAUUAAUUCGUAAACAAAGAAAUUCGUUGAAAUCGUGCGUAACGCUUACACAUGGGAAACGAGAUCGUACUACAUUUAAUAACAACAACAAAGAAACCAGUUAGAUUGUAGACAUAAAUGAUGGAUCGUAAAACCCGGGAUUGGAAGCCUUACUCGUAUAAGUAGGAAACUCCCAACUCAACAGACUCAGUCGAAUACGAACAGUUGAGCAGUUUGUGUCUCGUGAUUGAGAAGUGAAUUAACGUGUCUUAUCAAAAAAGUAAAGCAAUACAUUAUACAAAAUGUCGAAGGUUAUACUGUUCGCUCUGGUCGUCUUACUGGCAACGACUUUAAUCUCAGCUGCCACGAGUGAUAAUAAGUGCGGACGACAUGGUGAUCCUUGUGUGUCAGUAAGCGAUUGUUGUCCAGUCAAACAAAUGGCAUGCAAUAGAUUUGCAAAGAGAUGUCAGAUACAAAUCACCAAAGAAGAACUUUUGGCUCAACGAGAAAAAAUUCUUGGACGCCGUGGACCCGACUACAGAAAGUGAUCAUUCGAAAAGAACUAACCAAUAUGAGUUAUCUACAAUAAGGUCAGAAAUAAUCAAAGGUUCAACUCGAAGAAAGAAUCUCAACAGCUCAAACAAUUUUGUAGACUGACGAAUUUAUACUCGUGCCUUUUGCUCACUUAUAAGAAAAAAAAAUAAUUGAACGAUGUAGUUUAAAAUAAACUCUAUGUUUAAAAAAAA